AUAUAUUAUGGUGUAUUUGAUCUAUUUAGUCGAUCUUGUUUAAUGAAAACUUGAUUGUUGCUAUUGUUAUUUUUUAUGGAAGGAACUUCGAGGGGAAAAAAAUUAUGAUCGCAGACAUAGCUGAUAUGAAACCGUUAAUCAUGUUAGCUUUGGUGGUGGUGAUCCAAAACAAAGACAGAAAUUAUCAGCAUUCUGGACUAGGUCUGUCCAGGAGCAGAAAAUGUCGUUGACCCAAUAACAUAUUGAUUGUAAUAUUCCUGGUCUAUCAUGUAACAUUAUUGAUGUAAAAUUAGCUUCUUUAAAAAAAAAGUUGUAUUUAUUCAGUAAUAAAAUCAGCUUUGUAUUAAGUUAUGCUA